UAGGGAAUAUUAGUAAUGGGCGAAAGCCUGAACUAGCAACGCCGCGUGUGCGAAGAAGGCCUUCGGGUUGUAAAGCACUUUUUGAGAGGAUGAGGAAGGACGGUAUUCUCAGAAUAAGUCUCGGCUAGCUACGUGCCAGCAGCCGCGGUAACACGUAGGAGGCGAACGUUAUCCGGAUUUACUGGGCGUAAAGCGCGUGUAGGUGGUUUGGUAAGUAGGGCGUGAAAGCUCCUGGCUCAACUGGGAGAGGCCGUUCUAAACUGCCGAACUAGAGGAUGGUAGAGGGAGGUGGAAUUCCGGGUGUAGCGGUGGAAUGCGCAGAUAUCCGGAGGAACGCCAGUGGCGAAAGCGGCCUCCUGGACCAUUCCUGACACUCAGACGCGAAAGCUAGGGUAGCAAACGG
rnacentral:rRNA from 1 species